rfam:Beta vulgaris subsp. vulgaris Bvchr1_un.sca005.con0048.1, whole genome shotgun sequence.
AAAUCAUGAUGAGGAUAAAGGCGUUGCAGAUCCUUGAAUCUUUAUCAAGCUUCAUACAAUGACUCGCCAGGAUCUUGAGUGAAAGUAAUUAUCGCAUGAUGCAUAU